AUUGAACGCUGGCGGCAGGCCUAACACAUGCAAGUCGAACGAGUGGCGGACAGGUGAGUAAUGUCUGGAAAACUGCCCGAUGGAGGGGGAUAACUACUGGAAACGGUAGAUAAUACCGCAUACCAUCGGAGGUGCCCAGAGGGGAUUAGCCAGUAGGGGGGGUAACGGCUCACCUAGGCGACGAUCCCUCGCUGGUCUGAGAGGAUGACCAGCACCACUGGAACGGAGACACGGUCCAGACUCCUACGGGAGGCAGAAGUGGGGAAGAUUGCACAAUGGGCGCAAGCCUGAGGCAGCCAUGCGGCGUGUAUGAAGAAGGCCUUCGGGUGGUAAAGUACUUUCAGCGAGGAGGCGUUACUCGCAGAAGAAGCACCGGCUAACUCCGUGCCAGCAGCCGCGGUAAUAC
rnacentral:rRNA from 1 species